rnacentral:lncRNA from 1 species
CUUUUCGAGGUAGGAGUCGACUCCUGUGAGGUAUGGUGCUGGGUGCAGAUGCAGUGUGGCUCUGGAUAGCACCUUAUGGACAGUUGUGUCCCCAAGGAAGGAUGAGAAUAGCUACUGAAUUGUUUCUUCCCAGGUCCUAAAGAGCAAGCCUAACUCAAGCCAUUGGCACACAGGCAUUAGACAGAAAGCUGGAAGUUGAAAUGGUGGAGUCCAACUUGCCUGGACCAGCUUAAUGGUUCUGCUCCUGGUAACGUUUUUAUCCAUGGAUGACUUGCUUGGGUAUGGAGAGUCGGCUUGACUACACUGUGUGGAGCAAGUUUUAAAGAAGCAAAGGACUCAGAAUUCAUGAUUGAAGAAAUGCAGGCAGACCUGUUAUCCUAAACUAGGGUUUUUAAUGACCACAACAAGCAAGCAUGCAGCUUACUGCUUGAAAGGGUCUUGCCUCACCCAAGCUAGAGUGCAGUGGCCUUUGAAGCUUACUACAGCCUCAAACUUCUGGGCUCAAGUGAUCCUCAGCCUCCCAGUGGUCUUUGUAGACUGCCUGAUGGAGUCUCAUGGCACAAGAAGAUUAAAACAGUGUCUCCAAUUUUAAUAAAUUUUUGCAAUCCA